UCUUCCUUGGUCUAGUGGUCAUGAUUUCCGCUUGUCAUCAGCUAGUCUGCCAGCAAGCGCGGGAGACCGGGGUUCGAUUCCCCGAGGGAGAG
rnacentral:tRNA from 1 species